AGUGAACGCUGGCGGUAGGCCUAACACAUGCAAGUCGAACGGCAGCACAGGAGAGCUUGCUCUCUGGGUGGCGGGUGGCGGACGGGUGAGGAAUACAUCGGAAGCUACUUUUUCGUGGGGGAUAACGGAGGGAAACUUACGCUAAUACCGCAUACGACCUACGGGUGAAGGCAGGGGACCUCCGACCCUUGCGCGAUUGAUUGCGCCGAUGUCGGAUUAGCUAGUUGGCGGGGUAAAGGCCCACCAAGGCGACGAUCCGUAGCUGGUCUGAGAGGAUGAUCAGCCACACUGGAACUGAGACACGGUCCAGAGUCCUACGGGAGGCAGCAGUGGGGAAUAUUGGACAAUGGGCGCAAGCCUGAUCCAGCCAUACCGCGUGGGUGAAGAAGGCCUUCGGGUUGUAAAGCCCUUUUGUUGGGAAAGAAAUCCAGCUGGCUAAUACCCGGUUGGGAUGACGGUACCCAAAGAAUAAGCACCGGCUAACUUCGUGCCAGCCGCCGCCGUAA
rnacentral:rRNA from 1 species